GAUGAACGCUGGCGGCGUGCCUAAUACAUGCAAGUAGAACGCUGAAGGAGGAGCUUGCUCUUUUGGAUGAGUUGCGAACGGGUGAGUAACGCGUAGGUAACCUGCCUGUUAGCGGGGGAUAACGAUUGGAAACGAUAGCUAAUACCGCAUGUCAACAGUUAUUGCAUGAUAAUUGUUUAAAAGGGGCAACUUCUCCACUACCAGAGGUACCUGCGUUGUAUUAGCUGGUUGGUGUUGUAACGGCUUACUCAGGCGACGAGACAUAGCCGACCCGAGAGGGUGGUCGGCCACACUGGGGCUGAAACGCGGCCCAGACUCCUGAGGGAGGCAGCAGUAGGGAAUCUGCGGCAAUGGACGGAAGUCUGACCGAGCAACGGCGCGUGAGUGGAGGAGGUUUUCGGAUCGUAAAGCUCUGUUGUAAGAGAAGAACGGGUGUGAGAGUGGACAGUUCACGUUGUGACGGUACCUUAACAGAAAGGGACGGCUAACUACGUG
rnacentral:rRNA from 1 species